AGCUCACCUUCUGGGUUUUCUCAUGUUGCAGCAGAUAGCUCAAAAAGUAAAACUCCAUCAUCAAAGUCCAAAAAGACAUCAGAAAUUGUAGAAAGCGGAGAUGAUGCAGAUAAGGAGGAUGAAGAAGAUGAGGUUGAGGAAGAGGAAGAGGAACCUCCAAAGAAGAAAAAGAAGGUUGAAUCAUCACCCAAGAAAGCUGAAUCACCGUCAAAAAAAGCCAAAGAAAAGAAAGUGAAAGAUAAAGCGAAAGACAAGGUUAAAAGCAAAGAAAAAUCAAAAUCAAAGAAAACAGGAGAGAAGGCAAAAUCACCUAAAAAGAUGGCGCCGGUUCAGGUUAAGAUAACAGCUUUGAAAAAAGCCUCUCCGAAGAAGACUCCCAAAAAAG